rfam:Candidatus Kaiserbacteria bacterium RIFCSPHIGHO2_02_FTLL_54_11b rifcsphigho2_02_scaffold_43732, whole genome shotgun sequence.
GGAGAGGUGGCUGAGUGGUCGAAAGCACCGGUUUCGAAAACCGGCAUACCGCAAGGUAUCGGGAGUUCGAAUCUCCCCCUCUCCG